AUUGAACGCUGGCGGCAUGCUUUACACAUGCAAGUCGAACGGUAACAGGCCGCAAGGUGCUGACGAGUGGCGAACGGGUGAGUAAUGCAUCGGAACGUGCCCAGUCGUGGGGGAUAACUACUCGAAAGAGUAGCUAAUACCGCAUGCGAUCUAUGGAUGAAAGCGGGGGACCGUAAGGCCUCGCGCGAUUGGAGCGGCCGCUGUCAGAUUAGGUAGUUGGUGGGGUAAAGGCUCACCAAGCCAACGAUCUGUAGCUGGUCUGAGAGGACAACCAGCCACACUGGGACUGAGACACGGCCCAGACUCCUACGGGAGGCAGCAGUGGGGAAUUUUGGACAAUGGGCGCAAGCCUGAUCCAGCAAUGCCGCGUGCAGGAAGAAGGCCUUCGGGUUGUAAACUGCUUUUGUACGGAACGAAACGGCUCUGGUUAAUACCCGGGGCUAAUGACGGUACCGUAAGAAUAAGCACCGGCUAACUACGUG
rnacentral:rRNA from 1 species